rnacentral:rRNA from 1 species
CGGUACGUACUGGCGUUGUUGGUUUCUCCCUUCUGACGAACCAUGAUGUCAUUUAUUUGGUGUUGUGGGGAAUCAGGACUGUUACUUUGAAAAAAUUAGAGUGUUUAAAGCAGGCUCACGCUUGAAUACAUUAGCAUGGAAUAAUGAAAUAGGACGUUUGAUUCUAUUUUGUUGGUUUCUAGGAUCGACGUAAUGAUUAAUAGGGAUAGUUGGGGGCAUUAGUAUUCAAUUGUCAGAGGUGAAAUUCUUGGAUUUAUUGAAGACUAACUACUGCGAAAGCAUUUGCCAAGGAUGUUUUCAUUAAUCAAGAACGAAAGUUAGGGGAUCGAAGACGAUCAGAUACCGUCGUAGUCUUAACCAUAAACUAUGCCGACUAGGGAUCGGAUGAUGUUAAUUUUUUAAUGACUCAUUCGGCGCCUUACG